ACUUUUUUUAGUGGUCUUAACUCUUGGUGUCUGUAAGCUGCAGUCUCCUUUCGUGUCUUUGAAGAUUGAGUAAGACAAGCUCAUUAUGAGGCCUUCAGGGGUGAACAGUUCAACCAUUUUCUUGGAAUUGCACUGAGCUUCUGAUGCCAAUCUCUGCCUGGUAACUGGCUUGGGUCGUGCACGAGGAGGGGUGAAAGAGACCCACAUGGACCAUAUGAAUAAUCAAAUAUUUGCACCAAUGGGUCAUUCGGUGGUGCCUCAAAUGCACCAGGCGUUCUUAUGCAUCUAAGAUGGUUCAUGGAUAGUUCCAUCCAUCUGGAAUGUGCCCCUCCCACGUCCCUGAGGAAGUCCAGGAGGGGAGCAGAUGAUACAAACCGAUAGGGUUCAUUCUGCAGUGACAUACAUGCAUAUAGGCAUGGGCCUAGAGACGUGGACACACAUGUGUUUUUAAUGUGAUUCACAUAGUUCUUGUGCUGGAAAAGAUUUUUCUGGAGAGAAUCCUGAUGUCUUUGUAAUACAAUGAGAUGGAUGCAUCAAGGCAUUCAAGUCAUAAUUUUAUACUUCCAUAGCCUCUCUCUCUCUCUUUCUCUCUCUCUCCCACACACACACACACACACACACACACACACACACACACGAAAGAAGUCAACCAUCUCUUACAGUCUGUCUUUGCUAUUGGCAACGAGAUUGCCCAAUUUCUGGGGGAAACCAAAAAGCAUACUCCCAAAGAAGUUCCACAGAUUCUUACGGUUGGCAUCCUGGACAUGAUUCAGAGUCACUCAAUGGGGAGCAAACAUUUAUUGAGGGCCGACUCUGGGCUAGGUACCGGAGCUAUAAAGAUGGGUGGUUGCUGCCCUCCAAGAGCUUGCAGCCCAGAGCAGAAAUACAAGGCCUUGAGGGGACUCGGAAACAGUUGAGGAGAGCUGUGUGCUCCCAGAUACACGUGUCUUUGACUAUUUCUGGAGUCUGUGCAUUCUGUACUAUAGCAGCUACUUGAAUGACACACACACUAUGUGCCAAGUACCAUGCAAGGCACUGGGGGUACACACAGUUCCUGCUCCCAGAGGCUCAAUGUCAAGUGGAGAAAUCGCAAAAUAAGGAUGUCAUUAGGGCACAGAGAGAAGUUCGUGGAGUAUACAACUCACCACGAGGAGCCCACUCGAAUGCAGCUCCUGGCCUCCGUCCGCUACCUGGUGACAGAUCACGGUCACGUGCUAACGCAGGGGAGAGUCAUGCCCUUGCCCUCCCUCCACAGGGCUCUGCAGAAGCUCCAUGUUCCUAAGAGCCAGGAUGAUCUGCCUGACUUGUGGCAAACUGCCAAGUGCAUUUGAAACCCAAGCCUACGUGUGUAUAAAAAUGCAGGAAGCCAUCUUAAAAGGAUACGCUAAUUAGUUUCCUGGGAUUUCAGAUUUUAAAAGCUUUUGUGAUCGAAUUUGUUUCGGUAAUUUUUUUAAAGGAUUCCAAAGAUUGGUUCUGCUCUCAAGACACCAGAAAACAACAACAACAAAAAAGGAGAUAACAAACUUAUUGGUUUCCACAGCAGAAUGCUUUCAACGUGAACAGAGCGAAAACAUCCGCUGAUUGGUUGAUAAAAAGCAAUAUGGCAUUAAAAGGCCAUGAUGCAUAGCGAAGAACCAACCUCCCUUGGGUGGCUUGAUCUGACAUUGAGUUGCUCUUGAAAAGCAUUUGUGAGCCCUCGGCAGAAUCAGGACCUGGGGGGUAAGAGGACCUGGGGGGCGGGUAUCAUUUUCACUUAGACAAAAGAUACAAGCAAAAAACAAACAAAACAAAAAAAACAAACAAAACCCACCACGCCAAAAAAUGGGUUUUUACAUAUUGAGUAGAAAAAUGAUGGGAAGGGUCACACAAGCAUUUUUCUCAUAAGCCACCCUCCACUCUUUUCAUUAGGAAUAAAAAGAGCUAAUAAUGGAAAGGAUGCAUACGAUAAUUAUAUUUGUUCAGUGUGGGGAAAUAAAUAAUAAUUGGAGUACUACACUAUUAUGAAAGUCUAUAAUCAUAUUAUUAGAGGUGUCCUAUAAUUAGAAAGCCAUUAUCGAAAUACUUCCUCAUAGAGUUAAUCCCUCCCUCUGUGCCAUCCCUGAAUCUUGUCUGUGUUUCCCCAGGGGUGCACUCACCCCGUGUUGUCAUCAUCUGCUGGCAUUGCCUGUCCCCGAGCUCGUCUGUGACCUCGAAGGCAGCUCUCCAUCGGCUCUAUCCAUAUCACCCUCUGUGUGCCUGGCACUGGCAGCUAACCAUGGAGUUGACUGCGUUCCACCUCCUUUUCAAGUUCACUUCUCCAGGGUGGUGGAAAUGAGAAUCCCGGAAUCCCUGAGGAAUCCAUGAGACUCACGAAGCAAAGCACCUAGCUAGGCCCGGGGCGCCAUAACCCACACAGAUGUCGGCUCCCUCCCUCCUGUGCCAUUAACACACGUGUGACCUUCCUCAAAGGUGAUGAAAUCAUGGGGCCACAGGUCACAUGGCUUGUCGAGGGCGCCUCAGCUAACCCAAACCAGCCCCUGAGACUUCCACUCAUCGAGUCCCAACGUGUCUACCUUCCUUAACGCAGAGUAGCUUGUCUCUCUGCUCGGCGGCGCUGUAGACCAGCAACAUCCACCCAUCAAGACGCUUGUCCCGCUGAGGUCCUUGGAACUGACAGCUUCCAUCUUGAACAAAUAGACUAGUGUUCAUUUGGAUGUUCUCGGGCUCACGUGGCACCCACUCCAACAGCUGCUUGCCGAGUGAAUUUAGACAAUGUUCUGGAUGCCAGUUCUCUCAUUGCAAAUGGGAAGAGAUUUACAAAGCAGCAGCCGCUUGUCAUGUGGAAAUAAUUACGGGUCAAAGUCUCCAAAUCCCUGAGCUGCCCCGGGUAUGUGUCCCAGUCCUGGGAGCCAGAGCACCCCACCCCAGGACGACCCUCUUCAGAGAGCGAGGGUGGCAUACACCCCAAGAUGACAGGCAAAGGCUAGGAGGCUGGAAGGGAGAAAUAAAUCCCGAGUCAACGAGAAGGAUUAAAAAGUCACCUACCAUGAGGAGAAUUCGCACUCCACAAAUUUUUCUCGACUGAGUAAAUUUAAAGAAAUAAAACUAGAUUGAGCAUGCGUUUAAUACUGGCUGCUAUCUUUUGCUCUGCUCUGCUCAGUGGCUUGUUAAAUAUAAAAAGAUUUGCCCUGCAAGGAGACGUGGGGAGAGGCAAUCUCAGAAGGACCCAUCAGCCACCCCCCGCCCCUCCUCCUUGUAAUCCAGGGGAGACGGACAGCCCUGUUUCAUUCUAGCGCCCCAGCGCCCCGGUCUUGUGUACAGGCCCCACAUGCGAUCACCGGUAUCCCCACUGUCUCUUAAUAGAAGGUGAGAUAUAAAAAGCUCAUUCGAGAUGCCAAGAGCUUCCCUUUCUGACCCUGGCUGCCUGAGAGGCAAAUUGCAUUAGAAAAAUGACAUGCCAUUCAUCUCGCGAGUACUUGCAGGAACAUUUAGCUAAUUAAAUGAUUAAUAAAUUUAACACUGCUUUAUAAUUUCAUUUAGCUGUGUUGGAAAUCACACGGUGAGCUGCGUAUGCACCGAAUGAGAUUAGGUGGGAGUGAGGGUUUCGGAGGCUGCCCUGGUAAUUGAGAUUAGUCUAUUACUACAGUGACCUUUUUAACUUUUAUAUUCUCUUGUUAAAGCGAAAUAAAAUUUUAUUCACUUUUAAGGAAUAUUUACUUAGAGAAAUUUACAUGAAAUUAAAGAAACACCAAGCCCAGAAGCCUACUGGGGCCAGAAUCCAUGCACUGUUCCUUUUCUAAUUUUCAGAGGCUCUUUAGGAAAUUGUUCUUGAGCUAGCUGGAGGCAGAGUGUAGAGCAGUGUGGUUUUAGAGAGCUCAAUCAUUCAUUCAUUCACUCAGUAAACACCCAAUCCCUGCUGUGUCCUGUACAUGCCUCUAGGCCCUGGUUCUACAGCAAUAAACACAACCUGGGUCCCUGCUUCCCUGGAGUUUAGGUUACAGAGGGAAAAUAGAAAUGAGAAGCAAAUAAAUAAACAACAAAAUAACAGACAGUAAUAAGCACAGCACAGAGAAUUAGAAAUAAUGAUUUCUUUAGACUGGGGAGCCCAAGAAAAUCUCUGUUCAGAGAUGACCAUUCAACUGAGAUCUGAAUUAUAAAAAGCAGCCAGCCAUGCAAAGCUCAGAAGGAAUAGCACACCAGAAUAGAGGAGACUGGGGGUGAAGGUCCCGAGGAAGGAAGAAGUGGAUGUGGUGUGUUCAAGAAACAGAAGAAACAGGGGGUUUGGGGAGCUGGUGCAUCGGAGGUGACGCAGUGAAUGUAGGAAGGGUCAGACUAAGUAAUCCAUGCUGGUCACAGUAAGGAGUUGCAGUAUUUUUUUUAUAAAUGCAGUGGGAAGCCACUGGAGGGUUUUCAGCCAGGCAGUGACACCACUUGUCAAGUGACUCCAUCUAAGCCAAAUGUUUCUGCAGCCACAGUUAAUGGUGGGACCAUGGGGACCUUCCUGCCUUUGUAAGAAAAAGAGGCCUGCCUCGGUUUCCUUCACCUUCACCUUCCUUUGUAAACUGUGCUUUUUUUCCAACUGAAAACUGCAACUGCUGGUCGUACCUCUCUCUCCUUUUCUCAAUAUGUGGUACUUUGUGGUCCCCUGUAUUCAGAAAAUAUUUUCAAUUAUCCCCAAUUUUUGCUAUCCUCACCUAGAAAAUCCAGAAGCAUAUAUAUGUAAACUUUCAGAGGUCUCUGCUUGGUUCUCUCCUAUGUUAAACACUUCUUUUAUUUUUCCAUACUCUGAGGCUUUGACACUUGGGGCCUCACUGACCCCAGAGACACUCACUCUCCCUGACAGUCGAUUCCUAGAGAUAUGAAGCAACUCCCCUGUGCCUCACAAAUGCAAACUGACCAAUCCUGAGCCCAUACCUCCAAAUCACCUUCCUUAUCACGCCCUCACAUUCCCAGCUCUAACUAUCCUGUCCUCACUAUCUACCUGCUCUAAUCACCUCAGGGCCAGAUGCUGUAGCCCUGGGCCUGCUGAAAUUAUUCAAAGUAGCCAAUCCUCAGCUUACUUUCCCUGCCUUGCCUGUUCCUUCCUGCAGAAACCACAAUAAAGCCUCCUGCCCAGGGUCCCAUCUCCCUCUGCCUCCUGACUGAGGCAGUCCGGGUACUUCCCCAGGUGAUCUUCCCACUCUAGCACAGUGUGUCCCUUUCCAGGGACCUGUGGGUAUUGCAAACUGUCAUUGCAAUGGCAACCAUCUCUACAUCUGUUGGUCUUACCAUACCUAAGUAAUAAUGAAAGUUAUAUCAUAAAACAUCUCCAAAUACCCAGUUUCAUUGCACACCAGGGAAUAAGACCUAUCAUUUGCUGAGGUCUGACUUCGCGCCAGGUACUUUAGAGACGCGGCUGACUUUAACAGACUCUCACUUAACCCUUCCUCCCACGACACUGCAAAGAAGGUAGUUUGGGGCCAUUUUAUAGACGAGGAAACUGAGACAGAGUUUAAGGAACUUGACCAAAACCACUUGGCUCUAUGUCAGGGUUAGGAGUUAACCCCAGAAUAGAGAUGGUAUACAGUUCAUAAGUUAAAAGAAAGAGCAAUUUCCUUCUGAUGAAAUGAACUAAUGGCCAUGCUGGACAGACCACCUCUUGGCAGACGCUUGGAUGAUUUUGUUCUGUCUGCUUGCUCGUCCGGCCAACCUGGUUUGGAAUCACCAUUUGUUGCCCAACCACUGUUUCUCCUGUACCUACUCUGCCUAGUUUCUCAUCCAAGCAUAUUUAUCCAGAAUUGCACCAUUUCUCCUAACACCUUCUUACAAGUUAAUAUAAAGACGAAGAGAACGUCUAGAGAAAUGUCCAGGGCCCUUUUACCAGGGGCCCCUUGCCAUUCUUCCAGAAGGAAGGCCAAUUCCUCAGAGUGUUGGCGAGAGUCAUGAAAGACCUUCGCUCCUCUGAUGUUAACUCACAUUUUACAAACCUACAUAUUCAACAUUAAAAGUUUUUGCUGUUCCUUGUUGGUU